CCGAGAGCGCGCGGCGGGCGGGGAGCGUCGUUCUCCUCGUACAUUCCUGCCCCGCCGAGGAUCCUCCCCGAGGACGGGGACCCGGCGCGAGGGGCGGGGACGCGGGCGCUCCCGAGGUCGGGCUGGAGGGUACCCCCCGCGUGGCCGCGCAGCCCCUCGCCCGGCCCUGCUCGGAGUAGACGCCCAAUAAACGAGCUAAGAAGCUGAGCUACAAUAAUAUCUUAGGAAGCAAGUGAAUCUAUCAAGUAAUGAAGCUAGCUAGAAGCUUCUGGAACCUCCUCCAGAAAUGCUCGAUCAAAAUGAGAGAAUAAAUCAAGACAGAGGAAGGCAUGGGAUGCUGGGACUAGCGGCUUCAACUAGUACUAUACAAGAAUAGAGGCAUCCACCAUUAAGUAUAUAACUUGCCCAAGGUAUUCAAACUACACACCCAUCCAGUCGAGGCUCUGUCACAUAACUCCCAUGGUGCAUUCUAUCCUCAAUGGCUAGUCAACAAACAGCUGCCGAGGACCACCUAGAUCAGCAGCAUAGACUGGGUGCUGUGGGAGAAGAUGCAGACUUGCAAAUCUAACAGAUGACAAGAGACAGCAGGUUGGGAGAGACUAUGACAAAGAACCACACAAAGAGCAGAGCCAGAAGUAAUCACCGUGAUCCACCGACGCCAUUGACCACAGUAUCAGGAACUGGGAUCUGGGUAAAGGAAGAAUGAGAGGGAUGAAUAAGGUCUCUGCCUCAUGGUGGGAUCUGUCUACAGAUGGGUUCUUAGCUGCAAUAGUGAGGGGCUGGAAUAGCAGAGGAGGUCUCCAUCCCUAAGCUGAAUUGGAAGGAGUCAGAGUGGGGAAGAGAAGGACCCUUCAGCCUGGGCACACACUUAAAGACAACACAGGCCUAAAGACUGCUUUCUGUGCAGCCCGUGAAAUCUCCCCCUGACUGCAGUAGAUGUGGAGGCUUCCAGGUGAAUGAGGUCACAAAGGGGAUCCUGAAAACCAUUCACUGAUCCGAGGAAGUAGCUACCCCUCCUUCAUGCCUAAAAAAAAGUUUCUUUUCUGCUUGUUUUCAUUUUUCCCAUGCUGUUUCUCUGAGCUAGAAGUGGAAAUAUACUUAUGUGUCAUGAUCACACUGCUGGUUAGGAAAAUUGUUUUC